GGUAGCGUGGCCGAGCGGUCUAAGGCGCUGGAUUAGGCCUUCGGAGGCGUGGGUUCGAAUCCCACCGCUGCCA